rnacentral:rRNA from 1 species
AUUGAACGCUGGCGGCAGGCUUAACACAUGCAAGUCGAGCGGAGUGAUGGUGCUUGCACUAUCACUUAGCGGCGGACGGGUGAGUAAUGCUUAGGAAUCUGCCUAUUAGUGGGGGACAACAUCUCGAAAGGGAUGCUAAUACCGCAUACGUCCUACGGGAGAAAGCAGGGGAUCACUUGUGACCUUGCGCUAAUAGAUGAGCCUAAGUCGGAUUAGCUAGUUGGUGGGGUAAAGGCCUACCAAGGCGACGAUCUGUAGCGGGUCUGAGAGGAUGAUCCGCCACACUGGGACUGAGACACGGCCCAGACUCCUACGGGAGGCAGCAGUGGGGAAUAUUGGACAAUGGGGGGAACCCUGAUCCAGCCAUGCCGCGUGUGUGAAGAAGGCCUUAUGGUUGUAAAGCACUUUAAGCGAGGAGGAGGCUCUUUUGGUUAAUACCCAAGAUGAGUGGACGUUACUCGCAGAAUAAGCAUCGGCUAACUCUGUGCCAGCCGCCGCAGUAA